rnacentral:lncRNA from 1 species
GAGCACUCUGGAUCUCUGCAAUGGGGCAACGUAAUGAACCAUCCUUUGAACUUUCCUUGUACAUCAAAGGAUGGGCCGAGGGUGCUGUCAACCAAUUCUCUUCCUCCGAUCUCUUCAAACGCAGAGUCGCCCAGGCUCUGACAGUUUUGAUGCAUGGAUAAGGACCGGUUACUUUGCAUUUUUUUUAAUAUGGCAGAAAAUUCGAACUCAUAUUUUAACAAUAAACACUGAAAUAAUGGGCGAUAUUUCUUUACAUUGCAUUGAGUGGAGAAAGAAUGAGAGAAAGAAAAAUGGAAGUAAUCUUCGACCUUGUAGAAAAUGGGUGAGUUCCCUGGAACUAGGAUCGGCUUUUACAGCAUCCUCCUCAGCCCUUCCUUGUACAGUGCAGGAUUUUAGCUUUAAGGUAGAGAUUUCUCCCAAUAUCAUAGGAUCUAAUCGUUCAAUCCAUCAUUCAAGAAUGACAACAAUAAAGAUAUAAUUAGCCGUCAUUGUAGUCAAAUUUACUACACUUCCUAGUAGGGAGCACAUUUGUGUUUUUAGUCCCUUUGAAACUCAGGUCCAGUCUAUAAGCGUGGAUUGCAGGCAGAUCUUCAAGACGAGUGAUUAUUUUCUAGGUCAAAGGGAUGGGUCUUGGAGAGUUAGUUUACCUGCAGUAAUAAGCCCGAUGGGACAAAUCCAAAACGCGCUAACCCUGUACCUAAGGAACCCGGAAUGGUGAGUGUAACCGAGACCCAUCUGGUAGCAGUGAUUCAACACACACCUCAACGGCACUACCCCAGAAAGAAAC